CUCUGUUUACAUCAAUCAGGGGUGGGAAAAGAAAUAAAACAAGCUUCCAGAGCACCUACAGAUCUGGUGGAAAGAGGAAGAGCAUUUCCACCGAGUCACUUUCUUUGUGAUCCAUCAACUCUUGUCCACGAAUCAAUCGGAGAGUAAUGGCCGACCUUCUUCUCUCAGCCUUGCUACCGGUGGUGAUGGAGAAGGCAGCCGACCAUGUUCUCCAACAGUUUGGAGUGAUGUGGGGCAUCCAUGAGAAGCUAGAAAAGCUGAAAAGACAGCUGUUGGCAAUCCAGUCCAAACUUGGAGAUGCAGAGGAGCGACAAGUCAAGGAUGCGGCUGUGAAGAGCUGGUUGGUAGAUCUCAAGGAUGCAGCUUACGAAGCAGACGACAUCCUGGAUGAGUUCAAUGUGGAAGCAAUGCGGCGGAAGGCAGAGAUUCGGAUCGAUAUGACAAAAAAGGUGCGCAGCUUCUUCUCCCUUGGCAAUCCAGUUUCGUUUCGCCUUAAGAUGGGGCGAGAGUUGCAUGCUAUUGUUGAAAAAAUAGAGAAACUAGUGGACGAGGGAAAUAAAUUUGGUUUCACCGUCGAAACCCAACCCCAAAACAGGGACAGGCCACAAACCCACUCCUAUGUUGAUGAGUCGGAGGUCAUUGGUAGGGAGGAAGAUAAAGAAAAAAUAGUGAAGUUGUUACUUGAUCAUGAUGACAACCAGAAUGUUGCAGUCCUUCCCAUAGUUGGGAUGGGGGGUUUGGGUAAGACCACACUGGCCCAAUUGAUUUACAAAGAUCAGAGGGUGGAGAAACAUUUCCAGGCGCUGCUCAUAUGGGUGUGUGUGUCGGAUGAGUUCGAUGUUGCAAAACUUGCUAAAGCAAUAAUAGCUUCAGCCACGGGGGUUCAGUGCGAGCUAUCAGACAUGGAGUUGUUACAACGCCGCCUUCGAGAAGUUGUAAGUGGGAAGAGGUACUUUCUUGUAUUAGAUGAUAUUUGGAACGAGGAUCAGGCAAAGUGGGAUGAGCUAAAAACUUUACUAGCAACUGGUGGAGAAGGGAGUAGGAUUGUUGUGACUACACGAAGUGAGCGGGCAUCGUCGAUAAUGGGUACCCUCGACACUUAUCGCCUACCGACUUUGACUGAGGAUGAUUCUUGGGCAUUGUUUAGGAAGAGAGCAUUUGCAGGGGGAGCAGAAGAGCCUCAAAAUCUCGUAAGCAUCGGCAAGGAGAUUGUCAAGAAAUGUGGUGGGUUGCCUUUGGCAGUGAAGACACUGGGGGGAUUAAUGCAUUCCAAGAGCCAGGAAAGGGAGUGGUUGUCCGUGAGGGAUAGCGAGAUUUGGGGUCUGCAGGUCGGUGAACAUGGGAUCUUACCAGCACUAAGGUUGAGCUACAGUGAUUUGCCUUCCCAUUUAAAACAGUGCUUUGCUUUUUGUGCCAUAUUCCCGCAGGAUUACGAGAUGGAAAAGGAUCUGUUGACUCAACUAUGGAUGGCCAACGGAUUCAUUCCAUCCGAUGGAAGAAAGGAGUUGGAGGACAAAGGGCAUGAGAUUUUUAAUGAGUUGGCUUGGAGAUCUUUCUUUCAGGAUAUCAAGGAAGCCGAGGAGUACGGAGAUCGCUCAUACAGGCAUGAACUUUAUUCUGUAACAACAUGCAAGAUGCAUGAUCUCAUGCACGAUCUGGCACGAUCCAUUAUGGGGAACGAAUGCCUUAGCAUACUGGACCCUGCCAGGUGGGAAGAUGUAUCUCAGAAAACCCGUCACUUGUGUACAUCUGAGCAUUUUCAAUUGAACAUUCAUAGGACCCUGAAUAGUUAUCCAAAUAUUCGCACUCUUCUGUCCUCGAUAAAGGGAUUCCAUACUAGUAUUACAGUGACUACGGAUUCGUCAAAGCCGAAGUCUUUGAGAGCCUUGGAUCUACAUAAUACUACUAUCACACGACUGCCUAUUGCAAUUGCAUAUUUGGAACAUCUGAGAUACCUCGACCUCUCUGGUACUUUUAUAAGAGCAAUACCUGAAGCCGUCAGCAUGCUGGUCAACCUACAGACUUUAAAACUCUCUGACUGCGGGAAUCUAUGUAAGCUGCCCGAAGACAUGCGAAAUAUGAGUAGCCUGAGGCAUCUCUACAUUGACAGAUGUAGUCGUCUGAAGCAGCUGCCAGCAGGUAUCGGGCAGUUGAGCAGCCUGCGAACAUUGACCAAAUACAUCGUAGGCAAUGAUGCUGGAAGGCGUAUAGGUGAGUUGAAUAGCUUAAAUCUCGACGGCCUUCUAGAGCUGUAUAACCUAAGGAAUGUGAGGGAUGCAGCAGAUGCUAAAGAAGCUAAUCUUAGUUCCAAACAUAACCUUUGCUCAUUAAUAUUAUGCUGGGAUUUGAUAGAGUGGUAUCCCCCUUACUGUUAUGCAGAAAGUGCCCAUAGUUGUUUUGAAGAAGAUGUUUUGCCGACAGAAAAUGCUGAAGAGGUGUUGGAAGCCCUUAGACCUCAUGGUGGCUUAAAGCAGCUGACAGUAUGGCGCUACGGGGGUGGCAGCUUUUCAACGUGGAUGAUGGAUUCUCUAUUGCUGCAAAAUAUAAUUGAAAUCCAUCUAGGAGUUUGCACAGAAUGCCAACGUCUCCCACCUUUGUGGCAGCUACCUUUUCUUAAAUUUCUCUACAUGAUUAAGAUGGAUAGCAUCAAGUACAUCUGCAGCAGCACCAUCUACGGCAAUGCAAGUGAUGGCACAGUGCGAGCAUUCCCCUCACUAAAAAGAUUGGUGUUGCAUACGAUGCAGAGCUUGGAGAAGUGGUCAGAGUUUGAAGGAACUACAGAGGUCACAUUGGUUUUCCCUCACCUUGCUGAGCUUAAGAUCAUUGAUUGCCCAAAUUUGAUGACCGUGCCUGGGUUACCAUCUCUCAAAAGUUUUGAAAUGGAAGGAACUAAUAAGCAGUUGGGCUUGAUCUGUAGUCUGACGACACUCUCUUCCCUUAGCAUUGGUGUCUAUAAAACGAGCAAUGGUACAGAGUCGCCUCCUCUUGCUGAUCAGAAGAAAAUGUCUUUCAGGUAUUUCAGAUCUCUUGAAAAUUUAGCUAUAACUGCAUCGGAGGAUCUGGCACCAUUGCUGGAGGAGGAGGAGGAGAUGAGAGGGCUGAGCUCGUCCCUACAUUAUUUGGAGAUUACACACUGCAAUUGGUUUUUCUCACCAUCACAGCAGUCAUCAUCACCUUUGGCGUUUUGGAAGAACCUUAAUUCUCUCCUAUCUUUGAGGAUCGAUUAUUGUGAUGAUCUAGUCUACUGGCCGGAGGCAGAGUUUUGUGGCUUAAAAUCACUGAAGAAGAUAAAUAUCUAUGGUUGCAACAAGUUGGUUGGUUCGUCACCUUUGCCAUUAUCCUCCUCAUCAUCAGGGGAUGGAGAGCUCCUACCAAACUUGGAAGAGCUGGAUAUUGUUCAUUGUGAUGGUCUGCUGGAAUUGCCCAAGUUGUCUGCAUCCCUCAGAUCACUAUAUGUUGGCUACUGCCCCAAAUUAAAUUCCUUGACAGAAGGCUUGCGACAUGCCACUUCUCUUGAGAGUGUCGAUAUUUCAGGUUGCCCAAGCCUGAAUUCUCUGCCGGUAGAUCUAGGGCACCUAACAGCACUCAAGAUGAUGUAUAUCAGCGAGCUUCCUAGCUUGAAAUCUUUGCCACAAGGGUUGGGACAGCUCGCUGCACUCAAGGCUCUGGUUAUUAAAAGUUGCAGCAAAUUGUCAUCUCUGCCAGAAGGUAUGCAGGGCCUCACUGCCCUUCAAAAUUUGUCUAUUAGCCAUUGCCCUCUGCUGUCAUCACUCCCAGAAGGUCUACAACGACGAUUCCCCGGACUUCAGUAUCUGGUUAUUGCAGGGUGCCCCAACCUAGAGAGGCAGUGUAAGAGAGGAGGACCAUAUUGGCACCUGGUCUCACGCAUUCCCUAUACCGAAAUAUUAUCUGAGAGGAGGAGCAACUUCAGCACAUUCCUUCCUUCCUUUUCUUGCUUUAGAAGACCAUCUACAGUUUAAUGUCACCCAAUCCCCUUUUGAGGCUGAGGAAAUCUAGUGGCAAGUUUUAGAUCAGUUUGUCCAUGCUCGCUAAAGCAGUUCCUAAAGGGAUAAGAGGUCAAGUGGGAGCUGGAGGGAUACACAUUGGAAUUUUUCAUUCAGUUUUUCUCAUUUUAUUUUUCUCUUGCUAUGUCAGAUGAGCAGCAAAUUUAGCUUCAGGAUGAAUUAAGAGCGUUCAUGGUACAAGCAGCUUUCUUGUCGAUCAUUUCAGCAUUGAACUUCUUGUUAUUCUAAAUCCAGUAACGGAAGAAACGACAUACUAUGCCUUGGAUAAUCUUUUCAAGGAUUUACAGGCAUUCAAUGAUCAAGUGGCUUCGUAUGAAUGUUCUUGAUAGAUUUGCUUUUGUUGUUGUUAAGCCUCUAAAGGGACACUAGGAAGAGAUGAGCUUAAUUCCCUUUCAGAAGAUGUCAUUUGGCAUGUAAUGUUAUGUUGAUUGUUUCCCCUAAACCUUAUUUUAUUUCAUGUCUUUCAAUAUAUAAAUAUUGUAUUUGAAGACUUUGGUCGGUACUUCUGCUUGAAGAUGGAGAUGUUCAUUAAUUAUUUGAACAUUCACUUUGGUUGCUCUAACCAUUUUUAAGUAGUAUCAUACAACAGCAAUUUGAUUGAAAA